GACGAACGCUGGCGGCGUGCUUAACACAUGCAAGUCGAACGGAAAGGCCCUGCUUGCAGGGUACUCGAGUGGCGAACGGGUGAGUAACACGUGGGUGAUCUGCCCUGCACUUCGGGAUAAGCCUGGGAAACUGGGUCUAAUACCGGAUAGGAGCCAUUUUUAGUGUGAUGGUUGGAAAGUUUUUUCGGUGUAGGAUGAGCUCGCGGCCUAUCAGCUUGUUGGUGGGGUAAUGGCCUACCAAGGCGGCGACGGGUAGCCGGCCUGAGAGGGUGGACGGCCACAUUGGGACUGAGAUACGGCCCAGACUCCUACGGGAGGCAGCAGGGGGGAAUAUUGCACAAUGGGCGCAAGCCUGAUGCAGCGACGCCGCGGGGGGGAUGACGGCCUUCGGGUUGGAAACUCGUUUCGCUAGGGACGAAGCUUUUUGUGACGGUACCUAGAUAAGAAGCACCGGCUAACUACGUG
rnacentral:rRNA from 1 species